AUUGAACGCUGGCGGUAUGCUUAACACAUGCAAGUCGAACGGUAACAGCAAGAGCUUGCUCUUGGCUGACGAGUGGCGGACGGGUGAGUAACGCGUAGGAAUCUACCUUUUGGCGGGGGAUAGCCCGGAGAAAUUCGGAUUAAUACCGCAUAAGCCCUACGGGGGAAACGAGGCCUCUAUUUAUACGCUUCGACCAAAAGAUGAGCCUGCGUUAGAUUAGCUAGUUGGUAGGGUAAAGGCCUACCAAGGCGACGAUCUAUAGCUGGUCUGAGAGGAUGAUCAGCCACACUGGAACUGAGACACGGUCCAG
rnacentral:rRNA from 1 species